rnacentral:rRNA from 1 species
UGGGGAAUUUUGGACAAUGGGCGAAAGCCUGAUCCAGCAAUGCCGCGUGUGUGAAGAAGGCCUUCGGGUUGUAAAGCACUUUUGUCCGGAAAGAAAUCCUUGGCUCUAAUACAGUCGGGGGAUGACGGUACCGGAAGAAUAAGCACCGGCUAACUACGUGCCAGCAGCCGCGGUAAUACGUAGGGUGCAAGCGUUAAUCGGAAUUACUGGGCGUAAAGCGUGCGCAGGCGGUUUGCUAAGACCGAUGUGAAAUCCCCGGGCUCAACCUGGGAACUGCAUUGGUGACUGGCAGGCUAGAGUAUGGCAGAGGGGGUAGAAUUCCACGUGUAGCAGUGAAAUGCGUAGAGAUGUGGAGGAAUACCGAUGGCGAAGGCAGCCCCCUGGGCCAAUACUGACGCUCAUGCACGAAAGCGUGGGGAGCAAACAGGAUUAGAUACCCUGGUAGUCCACGCCCUAAACGAUGUCAACUAGUUGUUGGAGAUUCAUUUCCUUAGUAACGUAGCUAACGCGUGAAGUUGACCGCCUGGGGAGUACGGUCGCAAGAUUAAAACUUAAAUGAAUUGACGGGGUCAUAGCUGUUUCCU